rnacentral:lncRNA from 1 species
CAUCCUAGAGGGAAGGGGAUGUUAAAUGUUGGUUGCUGAGCCAGAAACAUCUUGUUGGAGGGCUGGGUGGCAUCUGCUAUCAAGACUUCAUGGUACUUUCCUUCAUAUUGUAAUCUUCAUUUUGGAGUGCACCCUCCAUGCUGAAUGGUACCUGCUAUUACGGCUCACUCCCGAACAAGGGCUGAAGCACCUCUGGGAAUGCCAUUUGGUGAUGUGUAUCUUUAGGCACCUACAUCCAUUCAAUACCUGCUUCCAAGCUCCAUUUUCAAAAGCAGCUUUCGGUAGGAUAGAUGACUGCUCUACACACAGCACAACAAUUAAAAUGACCUCACUGCUUCAGGAGGACAUUGACGAAUAUGUUCUGAGCACCGCAGCCAAUAGAUGUUGA